AGCGAACGCUGGCGGCAGGCUUAACACAUGCAAGUCGAGCGGGCGUAGCAAUACGUCAGCGGCAGACGGGUGAGUAACGCGUGGGAACGUACCUUUUGGUUCGGAACAACACAGGGAAACUUGUGCUAAUACCGGAUAAGCCCUUACGGGGAAAGAUUUAUCGCCGAAAGAUCGGCCCGCGUCUGAUUAGCUAGUUGGUGAGGUAACGGCUCACCAAGGCGACGAUCAGUAGCUGGUCUGAGAGGAUGAUCAGCCACAUUGGGACUGAGACACGGCCCAAACUCCUACGGGAGGCAGCAGGUGGGGAAUAUUGGACAAUGGGCGCAAGCCUGAUCCAGCCAUGCCGCGUGAGUGAU
rnacentral:rRNA from 1 species